UCUUAAAAGGCAUUUUGUUAUCUAAAAGUUUAAAAGUAAGAACACAGAAAAAGAAUAUGUGAUGCUCUUAUGCUUAUAGCUAAGUAGUUAGGAUGCAAUUAACCACUUAAAUGCAUAAUGGAACUAAAACACUUAAGAAAGAAUGAAACUAGGAGUAGAAAAAGACAAUCCUAGACUUAAAGUAUCAAGGAUCCGAUUAAUCCCUAUGGAUAUAACCAAAAUGUUAUGCCUGAUUAUUCUACCCCAAUGGCGGCUGCUUUUUAUGACUUACUUAAGUUUUUGUGAUGCAGACACUAAUGCAGAAUAUUGAAUACAAUACUGUAAAAAAAAUAAGGGAGUCAGACACCUUUUUGAAAUUUGAUCUAGUGGUUGAUCGGCCUUGCUUGGAUUGAUACUUAAUCCUCAAAUUUGCUACUUCAAGAAUUUGUUUUGCUCUUUUUCUUUCUUUUUUUUUCAUCCUUUUUUUCUUGCUCUUUUUUUUUUUUUGCUAUAACAACAAUAAUAAAGAAAUUCCUUGAAAAGAAACUAGAGGAACAAGUACUGAUUUUUAUGCAAAAAG
rnacentral:lncRNA from 1 species